GGAUGUGAGGGCAAUCUGGCUGUGACAUCUGUCACCCCAUUGAUCGCCAGGGUUGAUUCAGCUGAUCUGGCUGGCUAGGCGGGUGUCCCCUUCCUCCCUCACCGCUCCAUGUGCGUCUCUCCCGAAGCUGUGCGCUUGGUCGAAGAGGACGACCUUCCCCGAUAGAGGAGGACCGUUCUUCGGUCAAGGGUAUAUGAGUAACUGCGCUCCCCUGCUAGAACCUCCAUACAAGCUCUCAAGAAACAAAAAAAAAAAAAAAAAAAGAAAGAAAGAAAGAAAAAAAGAAAGAAAGAAAAGACAUGGAUUUAAAAAAUAUAUAAAAACAUAAAAAACUUUUAAAU
rnacentral:snRNA from 1 species